rnacentral:lncRNA from 1 species
GGUGCUUUUUUUGUGUGUGUGAAUAUCAAGUGAAUACAAUUAUCAGCUAAUUAUUCUUUUUAAUAAACGACUUAACGAGGACAACGUCAAGGGGAAUUUUAUUAACGAACUAAGAUAUAUAUAAAAGAAGAAUAAAAAUAAAACAAUAAAAA